GAUGAACGCUGGCGGCGUGCCUAAUACAUGCAAGUCGAGCGAACAGACGAGGAGCUUGCUCCUCUGACGUUAGCGGCGGACGGGUGAGUAACACGUGGAUAACCUACCUAUAAGACUGGGAUAACUUCGGGAAACCGUAGCUAAUACCGGAUAAUAUAUCGAACCGCAUGGUUCAAUAGUGAAAGACGGUUUUGCUGUCACUUAUAGAUGGAUCCGCGCCGCAUUAGCUAGUUGGUAAGGUAACGGCUUACCAAGGCGACGAUGCGUAGCCGACCUGAGAGGAUGAUCGGCCACACUGGAACUGAGACACGGUCCAGACUCCUACGGGAGGCAGCAGUAGGGAAUCUUCCGCAAUGGGCGAAAGCCUGACGGAGCAACGCCGCGUGAGUGAUGAAGGUCUUCGGAUCGUAAAACUCUGUUAUUAGGGAAGAACAAAUGUGUAAGUAACUAUGCACGUCUUGACGGUACCUAAUCAGAAAGCCACGGCUAACUACGUG
rnacentral:rRNA from 1 species